UUUACUGCCAGAUAGGACUGUAAGACAAAUAGAAGUCAGAGAGUCAGAACUGUUAGCAUUAUAGAAAACUUGCUGAGUUACCAGAAACAUGCAAAAGACCAAGCAACCAUGAAUGGGUGAGAUCUCUACUAGCAGUUUGCUUUCCCAGGGUUGGUAAGGUAGCUCAGUACACAAACACACUUGUCAUGAAGCUUGAUUUGAGAUCUCUCUAUGGAAGCACAGGAGGGAGAGUGCCAACUCCUACAUGGUGUCCCUCUGACCCCCACUUGUACACACAAAUUAACUUAAACUCAGCAUAAUUUACUGUUACUAUGGAAAAAGACUGAAAUAAUUACCCAUUUCAGUAGGGCAAAACAUUAAGACACUAAAGAAAAAAAAAGAAUGCAUUUUGACCGAGCAAUUCCUGUGGACUAUUCCUGUACUGAAUCAUUCAUUCAUUUAUAAAGUGAAAAAAUACAAAUGUGUCUCAGUUACAAUUCCUGUUGCUGUGAUAGUAAUCUGACAAAAGCAAUUUCAGAAAAGAUUCAUUUGGGCUUAGAAUUUAGGGUGCAGUCCAUCAUGGCCGGGAAGUCAGGAAGCAGGGACUCAAAAUAGCUGGUCACAUUUCAUCUAUGGGAAGAAGAAAGCAAUGUAUCCUUGUGUCCAGUAACUACCCCUUUUAAUUCUGAGGAUUUUUGCAUAGGAAAUUGUGCCACCGAAGAGGACAAGUCUCCCCAGCACAAUGAACCCAAUCAAGAUAAUUCCCCAUAGCCACGCCCAGAGGCCCAUCCCCCAAGCCAUUCUAGAUCUCAUCAAAUUAGCAUUUGGUUGUAACCAUGAUAACAUAUUAAAUAUUCAUCUGUGAGAGAAAUACAGUGAUUAUGAAGUAGCAUAGCCCCAUUUAACCAGACAGAGUGCCUAUCAUGCAGAAUGUCUUUGAUCUGUUGGGGGGACAGGGCAGGCCUUACACAGUACGUAAAGAAUAGAUUUGAAAAUUCAAAACUAUCAUUAGUAAUUGACUAACAAUGAUUGAAUACUAGCUUUACCAUUUAUUAAUCUGUAUAUAGCCUUAGGCAGUUUAUUGCGACUGUAUUUCUUAAAAUUUUAUUAGGAAAAUGGCUGCAAAAUCUUUUGUUCUGGGGACUAAGUUUGUUACAGUGUCUGGUGUAAAGUGACAUUUUUUUUUUUUUGAUGCCCUUCAGAAAAAGGAUCUGUAUAUGAGAGUGGGGAAGGAAUCUUGUUUCUUGUUGAUAAUUUUUAUUUUAAUUAAAACAUUUUUAGUU
rnacentral:lncRNA from 1 species